UGGACCGCACACAAGUCUGUUGGAAUACAGCGGCACAGUGGUGAGACCCCCGUUCAUGGUGCGGAUGCCCAAUGCUUUGUGAUACAUUUUCGAAGAGUCGAGUUGUUUGGGAAUGCAGCUCAAAUUGGGUGGUAAAUUCCAUCUAAAGCUAAAUAUUGGCGAGAGACCGAUAGCGAACAAGUACCGUGAGGGAAAGAUGAAAAGCACUUUGGAAAGAGAGUUAAAAGUACGUGAAAUUGUCGAAAGGGAAG
rnacentral:rRNA from 1 species